rnacentral:rRNA from 1 species
UACGUAGGGUGCGAGCGUUAAUCGGAAUUACUGGGCGUAAAGCGUGCGCAGGCGGUUUUGUAAGACAGGCGUGAAAUCCCCGGGCUCAACCUGGGAAUGGCGCUUGUGACUGCAAAGCUGGAGUGCGGCAGAGGGGGAUGGAAUUCCGCGUGUAGCAGUGAAAUGCGUAGAUAUGCGGAGGAACACCAAUGGCGAAGGCAAUCCCCUGGGCCUGUACUGACGCUCAUGCACGAAAGCGUGGGGAGCAAACAGG